CCUACGGGGAGCAGCAGUGGGGAAUAUUGGACAAUGGGCGAAAGCCUGAUCCAGCCAUGCCGCGUGUGUGAAGAAGGCCUUCGGGUUGUAAAGCACUUUCAGUGGGGAAGAAAGCCUUGGGGCUAAUACCCUCGAGGAAGGACAUCACCCACAGAAGAAGCACCGGCUAACUCCGUGCCAGCAGCCGCGGUAAUACGGAGGGUGCGAGCGUUAAUCGGAAUUACUGGGCGUAAAGCGCGCGUAGGCGGUCUGAUAAGCCGGUUGUGAAAGCCCCGGGCUCAACAUGGGAACGGCAUCCGGAACUGUCAGGCUAGAGUGCAGGAGAGGAAGGUAGAAUUCCCGGUGUAGCGGUGAAAUGCGUAGAGAUCGGGAGGAAUACCAGUGGCGAAGGCGGCCUUCUGGACUGACACUGACGCUGAGGUGCGAAAGCGUGGGUAGCAAACAGGAUUAGAUACCCGUGUAGUC
rnacentral:rRNA from 1 species